UGGUUGGAACAGUUAAGUUUAAAUUAGAUCUAUGGGAAAGGACAUGGGCUUAGGCGUUCAUUAUUGGGUUGAACCUAGAAAUACUCAGCUUUGAAAAGCUGGAAAUUGGGCUCCAAAUUUUGGCCCAGUAGGACGAGUAUUCCAGGGAUCUGGUCCCUGUUGGGAUUUGACUAAGUGCUCGCCAUAUUGGGCUCUAGGCGGUCCUAAUUACUAUAUUUUCUGGCUUGGCCUAUCUAUCCCUUUUGAAUCAACCGAAAUUUGCCUAUUCAUACAUGACUAUACCUAUUACUUGUUAAGUGAAAUCAGUAAAGAUCAAACAGCACUACUAAUUAACAAUUAAAUGCAUGGCUAAACAGGAUAUAAUAACAUGCUUUCUAUUAUAAUCUAAGAAAAGAACUUUAUAAUUGAAGUCAAUCUGCAGGGUUCAACGCCCAAGCCUGUUUGCCUGGGCCCAGACUUGCUCAAAUGAGUUCCAAUGUCGGACCUCAAUGCAAGUCUGGCCCAAUUCAUGUCAAGUCAUUACACCACGAUAAUGUUUAUACAAAAAAAAGGCAAAGGGCCCAGCUGUGGUGACCCAAUACUAAUUAAACAAAAGAAAGAACAGAAUUUAAAAAGAAUCAUUAUAACAGUCUGUUUACCCUGCUGAAAGUCCAUGAGUUUACAAAAAAUAACUAAUAGGCCAUUUUUUCAACAGUUCGUAAUACUAAUGCCUAAAAGAAAAUUUUAAAAGUAAACAAAAGAAAUAUUUUUCUCCAAAGUUCAGGUUUUCUUCUGCUAUCAGAUCCUUUAAUAGGGUGCAAACUUGCAAGGAAUCAGCUAUGGAGUUGUUCCUCACAAGUUGACACUUCGAGCUUCAACCUUGAGAUUACUUGGCUUUGUGGCCACUCACAUACAAAACAACAAUACAACUAUCAGUACAUAUAGAAAUCCAUAGAUUACUGUAACUUUGACUUAACUAACAAAAAGCAAUUAAAAAGAAAGGAAAGUGGCUACUUCAGCAGUUAUGAAUUCAUAUUCAAACCAUUCCAGCAUUCUUUUCACAUAAGAACUUGGCUAAGUAAAAUGCUCAAGCAUGCUAGUGAGGUAAUAACUUAACACAUUUGAAGGAAUCAUGAUCAUAAAGAACAAACAAGCUGGAAAUAAGAAAAGACACUUAACAAACAAAAGCUUUUCAUUCAGCCACCCAGACAAAAGAUUACAGAAGCUAAAUGAACCCAAGUCAAGCAUGUGAGUCCAAAAUGUGUACCUUUAUCAGCAAAAUAGACAAUAAAAGCAAAAAUCUCUCUGAAAACUGAAUUUCAGCAGCAAAAGACAGCAGCAACAAAACCAAAAAUAACCCAAAGAUUCAAAUCCAAACCAAAACCAGCUUGAAACCAGGAGAUCCAGCUAAAAGAACUAAGAAAAUCUUUUAUUUCAUACUAUGUUUUCAACUUGUAAAAAAUCAUAAAAUGAGAAGUUUUUGUGCAGUGAAUUUGAUGAUGAAUGUCUGUUUAUCAGAAUGAGAGAACCUACAUAUAUAGGCUGCCUAGAGAAGGUAUAUUUUUUGGCAUAUUCCUUAUCCUAAAGUAAAAAUAGUACUGUCCUUUUACAGCCCCUGGUACAGCUGUCCUAUAUUUCAACGUCUUUUAUAACAGCUAGGACAGCUGUACAUUUCUAG
rnacentral:lncRNA from 1 species